rnacentral:rRNA from 1 species
UACAGAGGUGGCAAGCGUUGUUCGGAAUUACUGGGCGUAAAGGGCGCGUAGGCGGCCAUCUAAGUCAGACGUGAAAUCCCCCGGCUUAACCUGGGAACUGCGUCUGAUACUGGAAGGCUCGAGUUUGGGAGAGGGAUGUGGAAUUCCAGGUGUAGCGGUGAAAUGCGUAGAUAUCUGGAGGAACACCGGUGGCGAAGGCGGCAUCCUGGACCGAGAUUGACGCUGAGGCGCGAAAGCCAGGGGAGCAAACGGG